rnacentral:tRNA from 1 species
GCCUUCGUAAUGUAGUGAUCUGCAUGUUCGACGCGUAACCGAGAGGUCCGUGGUUCGAUUCCCGGCGAAGGCG